GGCCAGCCCGGGCGGUGUCCACAUUCCUCACAAGCAGGGUGCGUCGGGGUUUGGCCAAGCCAGGUGUUCUGGGCCCUGCCCCGGCCCCCGCCUGCCAGCUCAGCGCUGCAGCCUUGGCCUUGUAUGGACCCUGCCUGGCAGCUGCCUGGAACGGGGCGUGGGAACUGCUUGCCUUGCACAUCCCUGCUGGGAGGGGUGCAGGCUGGCUUGGGGGAAGCCUGCUGGAGCCCCAGCCCCCACCAUGGCCUGGGCAGCUGGGGUGCCCACUGCUCACCCCUCCUCACGGCCCCCUUGGCCUCUGCGCUUGGAGAGCUGGAGACUGCGGCUUAUACCGGUGGCGACCUUGGAAUCAAUCCAGAAAGGCAACUUGGUCUCCCAACCUGCCCAGGAAGUCUUCCUUCAGGCCAGCCAGCUUUUCUAGAAGGUUCUCCAGGAAGCUAGUCCCAGGGCUCGGCCUCUGGAGCCUCCGUGCUUCCCUCGCUUGCCUCUAGAUGGAAGACUUCCUCGCCUGGUGCCCAACAGGCUCCCUCAGCGGCCACAUCCAGCAAACCUGUGGAUGCUAGAAUUCUCAGAACCAAAUGCAGCCCGUAUCUUCUGCCACAAAGCAUGACAGGCUUCUGUGUGGCUGGUUUGCUUUCCUUGGCAUUCCUGUUGCUCCCAGUGAACUGUGAUCCAGCUGCGAGGCUCCUGGUCCCCACCCACCUCUGCUUGGAUGUGUUCUCACCUCAUCUCCUCUGCCUGGCAAAGCCCUGCCCUGGCUUCGAAACCCAGCCUUGUGGUCCCUCCCCGUGAAACCAUCAGCAGCAGCCUGGGCUGAAUGAGUGGCUCCUUCCUGCUCCUCCCAGGUGCCUGAACAUACACACCUUCAUCACCGCACAAUAACUCAGCUCCAGGAUGGACCGCGUGUCCAUUUCUUGCUCACCUGCCCGUGCUCAUUAAGGGCAGGGCUCAGCUGACUCAGUGCUGAGUUCUUGGCACCCAGCCCAGUGACGGCCCCACCAUAGAUGCGAUGAAUGGGUGCUGAGGAAAAGCCCAGCAUCGGGCACUUACUGUCGGCAUCCAGCAAGCCAGCAUCGAUUGGGCACUUCCUGUGCAUAAAGUGCCAGGUUAGACCUUAGAGUGGGUUCAGAGAUGAACAGAAAGCUGUCUUUUGGCUGUGCGUGCAUGGUCAGUCGCUUCAGUUGUGUCUGACUCUUUGCGACCGUAUGGACGGUAGCCUGCCAGGCUCCUCUGUCCAUGGGAUUCUCCAAGCGGGAAUACUGGAGUAGGUUGCCACGCUCUUCUCAGGGGAUCUUCUCCACUCAGGGAUCGAACCUGAGUCUUCUGCGUCUCCUGCAUUGCAGGCAGAUUCUUUUACUGCUGAGCCACUGGGGAAGCACUCAUUUGGCUGUAAUGGAUUGUAAUUCUAGAAGGGGAGCAGAUCCACCUCCAAAUAAUAAUUCUAACAUGAGUGACAGGGACUAGCACUCUGGCACUAGAAGAGGUGAGGGAGAGUGUAUUAUUUCCUAUUGUUAUUGGAAAAAAGUACAGCUUUAUUUUUUAAAUGAUUAUUUAUUUUAUUUUCAGCUGCACUGGCCUUGGUUGCCAUGCCCAGGUUUUCUCUAGUUGUGGCGAGUAGGGGCUACUUUUCGUUGUGGUCCCUUCUCUUGUUGAGAAACAUGGGCUCUAGGGUGCUUGGGCUUCAGUGGUUGUGGCGCAUGAACUUAGCUGCCCUGCGACAUGUAGAAUCCUCCUGGACCAGGGAUUGAACCUGUGUCCCCUGCAUUGGCAGGCAGAUUCUCAACUGCUGGACCACCAGGGAAGUCCCAAAUGACAACUUUAGGGGCUUAAAGCAACACUCACGUUAUCUGACAAUUCUGGAAGUCUGAGGUCUGAAGUGCAUCUUGCAAGGUUAAAUCAAGCUGUCAGCAGGGCUGAGCCUCUUCUGGAGGCACUCAGGGAGAACUGUUCCUUGCCUUUUCUGCUUCUAGAGUCUGCUUACAUUCUUUCGCUCAUGGCUUCUUCUCUGCCCUCCGCUUUUGUUGUCACAUCUCCUUGUCUGGCUCUGAGCUUUCUCCCUGCCCCCACCCCUAUUUAAGGACGCUUCC